rnacentral:lncRNA from 1 species
CUGAGGUGCCACUUUGGACUCUACCUUGACACCCUUAGAAGGCUGUUAACGCCUUUUGGUGACAAAGAUUAAGAAACCCUGCCCCAGGCUGGUUGCUGUUGCUCACACCUGUAAUCCCAGCACUUUGGGAGGCCGAGGCAGGCGAAUCACAAGGAGGGAAGCCAGCGGCCAUGUGGUGAGGGUACUCAAGCGGCCUAUGGGGAACCCCACAUGGUGAAGACUGAGGCCUCCUGACAACAGCCACAUGAGGGAGCCAUCUUGGAAGCAGAUUAUGCAGCCCCAAUUGAGCCUUCAGAUGACUGCAGCCCUAGCCCACACCUUGGCUGAAACCUCAUGAGAGAUCUUAGGUCAGAACAACUGAGCCUAGCUACUCCCAGAUUCCUGACCCACAGAAUCUGUGAGAUAAUAGCGUGCGUGAUUUUAAGCUGCAUAAAUUUGAGCUAAUUUAUUAUGAAGUAAUAGAUAACCUUCUCCUUGUCCUUUAAGAUGUCAUUUGAAAGUUUCCAGGGCUAGGUGUGGUGGCUCAUGCCUGUAAUCACAGCACUGUGGGAGGCCGAGAACGGUGGAUCACUUGAGGCCAGGAGUUUGAGACUAGUCUGGCUAAUAUGGCAAAACCCUGUCUGUACCAAAAAAAAAAAGAAAAAGAAAAAAAAAUGUUUCAAGGACUUCACUGAUGUCUUUCCUUUAUUCCUGGCUUAUGAUGAUGUUGGAAGCUUGAAAAAGAAGAUGAGAAGAUGUGUGGUUUUGGAGUACGGCAGCAAUGCCGUGGGCAUACACACCAAGCAUUUUCUACUGGUUAUGUCAUGUAAGCAUCUCAACCACCCUGUGGGAAGGUAUUAAUAGUCCCAUUUUAUAGAUGAGAAC